rnacentral:rRNA from 1 species
GAUAGGGGAGAAAUUCCAAUCGAACCCGGAGAUAGCUGGUUCUCCUCGAAAUAGUUUUAGGACUAGCCUUAAUUUAGUCUGAUGGAGGUAGAGCACUGAAUUUUUGCGGGGGCGUCAAAGCUUACCAAUGAAUAUCAAACUGCGAAUGCCAUACAGAUGAUGAUUAGGAGUCAGACUACACGAGAUAAGUUGGGUAGUCGAAAGGGAAAGAGCCCAGAUCUACGGCUAAGGUCCCAAAGUGAGUGUUAAGUGGAAAAGGAUGUAGGAUCUCAUAGACAACUAGGAUGUUGGCUUAGAAGCAGCCAUACAUUAAAAGAGUGCGUAAUAGCUCACUAGUCGAGAGGUUCUGCGCCGAAAAUGUCCGGGGCUAAAACACUACACCGAAGCCAAGGGAUGACGAAAGUCAUCGGUAGAGGAGCAAUCUUACCGACGCAGAAGCCAUACCGAAAGGAGUGGUGGAGAAGUAAGAAGAGAGAAUGCCGGAAUGAGUAGCGAGAGUGAGGUGAGAAUCCUCACGGCCAAAUACCCAAGGAUUCCAGAGUAAAGCUGAUCUGCUCUGGGUAAGUCGGGACCUAAGGCGAGGGAGAGAUCCGUAGUCGAUGGACAUCAGGUAUAGAAUCCUGAACUGCAUAUAAUCAGAAAUGUGGGGACACAGAAACUAAAGUCGAACCCGGGAGAGCAAAGACCGGGAUAAGCGAGGUAGCAGGUGGUAGGAAAAACCGCCACGAAAUGCGAAUGCGUGAUAUGUAGCGAAGAAAAGUAGCGAAGUCGAAUAGGGAGCUGUCAAGAAAAGCCGCUAUAGCGUUAUAUGUACCCGUACCGAAAACCGACACAGGUGGGAGGGGAGAGAAUCCUAAGGCCGGCGGGAGAAGCAUUGUUAAGGAACUCGGCAAAAUGACCCCGUAACUUCGGGAGAAGGGGUGCCCACGGGAGUGGGCCGCAGAGAAAAGGCUCAAGCAACUGUUUAGCAAAAACACAGGUCUAUGCGAAACCGAAAGGUGAAGUAUAUGGGCUGACGCCUGCCCGGUGCUGGAAGGUUAAGAGGAGAGGUCAGGCAACGAAGCUUUGAAUCUAAGCCCCAGUAAACGGCGGCCGUAACUAUAACGGUCCUAAGGUAGCGAAAUUCCUUGUCGGGUAAGUUCCGACCCGCACGAAAGGCGUAAUGAUUUGAGCGCUGUCUCAACAAUGCACCCGGUGAAAUUGAAGUACCAGUGAAGAUGCUGGUUACCUGCGCCAGGACGGAAAGACCCCAUGGAGCUUUACUCUAGUUUGAUACUGGGGUUUGAUGAUGCAUGUACAGGAUAGGUGGGAGACUAUGAGGCGAGGACGCCAGUUUUCGCGGAGUCACUGUUGGGAUACCACCCUUGUAUCAUUGAAUUUCUAACCCGUGGCCGUAAGCCGGUCAGGGGACAAUGUCAGAUGGGGAGUUUGACUGGGGCGGUCGCCUCCGAAAGAGUAUCGGAGGCGCUCAAAGGUUCCCUCAGAAUGGACGGAAACCAUUCAAAGAGUGCAAAGGCAAAAGGGAGCUUGACUGCGACACUGACGGGUGGAGCAGGUACGAAAGUAGGACUUAGUGAUCCGGUGGUUUUAAGUGGGAAAGCCAUCGCUCAACGGAUAAAAGCUACCCUGGGGAUAACAGGCUUAUCACUCCCAAGAGUUCACAUCGACGGAGUGGUUUGGCACCUCGAUGUCGGCUCAUCGCAUCCUGGGGCUGAAGUCGGUCCCAAGGGUUGGGCUGUUCGCCCAUUAAAGCGGUACGCGAGCUGGGUUCAGAACGUCGUGAGACAGUUCGGUCCCUAUCCGGCGUGGGCGUAAGAUAUUUGAGAGGAGCUGUCCUUAGUACGAGAGGACCGGGAUGGACUGACCACUGGUGUACCUGUUGGGUAGCAGACCCACGGCAGGGUAGCCAAGUCGGGAACGGAUAAACGCUGAAGGCAUCUAAGCGUGAAGCCGACCUCAAGAUGAGAUAUCUCAUGCGAAAGCAGUAAGACCCCUUAAAGACAAUGAGGUAGAUAGGGCUAAGGUGUAAGUGCAGAAAUGCAUUAAGCUGAUAGUUACUAAUCGGUCGAGGGUUUAACCA